rnacentral:lncRNA from 1 species
AGGAAAAUAAUUUCUAGACAAUUCAAUUCCUUCGAAUUCAUUUUAAUUCAAUUCUAUCUUUGCAAUCAAACGGACCCUCCUUAUAAGAUUUGAUAAAAUUUAUCAUUGAAAUUAAAAGGUUGAAUUUAUUGAUUUUGACUUCAAAUUUCUAAGUUUUCGAAAACAUGCACUAAAUUUGCAAUAAACAAAAACUAUUUCACGCUUCUAAAUUUUUUUUUAUCGUAAAAUGGUAAGAAAUUUGGUGUCGAGUUGGGCAUAAAUGUCAUUUCAGACUGAUUUUCCAUGUCAGAGUCACAAUCCAGUAUUCUAUUAUUCCAUUCAUGGGUCAGACGAGACCACACCUUACUAACACAUAGAAAGGACUCAUAAAUCCAUUCG